rfam:Treponema azotonutricium ZAS-9, complete genome.
GGGGAUAUAGCUCAGCUGGUAGAGCGCCAGCUUUGCAAGCUGGAUGUCAGGGGUUCGAAUCUCCUUAUCUCCA